UUGACCUCGGAUCAGGUAGGA
rnacentral:rRNA from 32 species